GUUAAGUGUUGCGUGUGGCACUAUAGCAGACCCAAACUGGCUUCUGACCCUCCUCUACCCGACUUGUAUCCUGCGAGAGGCUAGCCCUUAACGUCUGGCCUUCAACCUUAACGUUUCGGUUAAAUAUAUCACUUUUAAUGCUUCUGCUUAAGUACUGGUGUGGGUGUAUGGUGUCUUCUAGGACCACUACAUGGCCCCAGACGGCUCCUUGGCGUUCCUCCCGUCUGAGCAAAACCUGUUUGUACCAGUUUGUCUAGCAUCUCCUUUAAGUCGUCCUUUGGGGAAAGUCUCUACAGUUCUCAGACACUAACAGAAAUGAGAGCCGGUAAGCACUUUAAAAUACCUGUAGCUGGGAUCAAGCAAAUUCUUACUGAUAAUCAUUGCAGAGGCUUCCACCUAGUUAGAAGACGAGGAUAAGGAAGACUUGAGAAUUGUUGCCAGAAGUGGGAUACAGUUCAUGUGGACAAGGAGCGAGGCGUGAUCAUCUGGGUACACUGUGCAAAAUAGUCUCGCACAGAAAGGCUCGGGCGACCACAGGGUAGGCAACGAGGACUCCUAGUACUGAAGAACAUCAAUAACGACCAUAUAGUGCAAUAACAUGGCUUGUCACCACGCCCAGUCAUUCACCUGAGACCAACCUUUGAUAUGUCGGUCAAUGGUCUAGUUUCCUGAAUAAUGUAAAGAAUAUUAAAAUGUAAACUACCUCAUCUCUUAUACCUUUAGCCAGGUCUCUUAAGGCUUCGUGUGUACACAACUUGCCUCCAGGAACCUGAAGUGCAGUUAGUAUACUUAACUCGUUAAGGAAAUAAUUAAUGGCUUGUGAUUUCA